GCACUGCUGAGGAGUCCCACAUAGGGACGAGACGGCCUUCCAGUGC
rnacentral:hammerhead_ribozyme from 1 species